rnacentral:lncRNA from 10 species
GACAGGGAGCCUCUGUCUCUUUUAUUCACCGCAGUGCCUGGCACAUACUGGAUACUCAGAGAAUGCUUGUUCAAUGAACACAAACAUCAAUGCUGCAAGGCCAAUGAGAUUCAGCCAUUUUUCAAAUGAAUAAGCUCAGGCUUGGAAAGAGAAUAGGAUGUGAAGGGUGAAAGAUAUUGGCAGCCCCUUGACUGAAUCUUGAAGCCUGUAAGUGGCAGAAUCAGGAUUUGAAUCUAGGUCCAUCCAAUUUCCACUGUACUGUGCUAGGUGGGUGCUAAGGGCUGGACUCUGAUGGGGCAGAAGGGAACACUCCUGCGUGGGAGGAAGAACAGAGGUGGCUGAUAAUCUAUAAGCUGAAUUUGACCUCUGCUGUCUCCAGCCUGCUUUACCUCAUUCUGCAAAGACAAAUCAUCUGGAGAAACAGAUUCAAUGCUCUGAGCCUCACUCGGCACCACAGAGCUCCAGAGAGACUGGCUGGAGUGUGGGGAUCCAGGCUCCCGCAGGAGCCUCAUUUUGUCAGUGAAGCCUUUAGAGAUGGCAUGUGGCCUGGCCCUUUGCAGAACUGGCCAGAGAUCACACAAUCACGGGCUCAGAGAGUUGAAAGGGACCUUAAGGUCACCUAAUCCUCCAGAUGGAAGGCUUCUGCCCUGGGAUGCCCACUCCCGCCAGGAUCACAGGCUUACACCUCAAACGCCACCUGGCCUCUGACUGCAUGGUGCCAUGGCCUCAAACACUAAGUCUGCACUACACAGAGAAGGCGUGAGGACUGGCCCUGGCUUUAGAAAACCUGGAAUCCAAGAGCUGCCCUGGCUUCCCCGCUUAGUAGCUGUGGACUUCGGCAAAUGACUUUUCCUCUUGGAUCCUCAGUUUGAGCAUCUGUAAGGAAGAUUGUCAAUGCCUACCUUACACUGUGAUUGGGAGGAUUAGACAAAGCAAGAGAAGGGAGACAGUGGACACUGCAUGAAGAUAAAAGCACCAAGAUAAAGGAGGAUGAAGAAGAAGGCAAUGACUUAUAGCAGAAGUUGUCACACUUCUUUUGUGAAGGGCCAGAGAGUAGAUCUUUUAGGUAUGCAGGCCAAAGGGUCUUCGUUGCAACUACUCAAUUUUUUCACUGGACCAUGAAAGCAGCCACAGAUGAUUUGUAAAGAAAUGAGUGGGACUGUGUUCUGGCAUGUCUUUAUAAAUGGACAUCUACAUUUGAGUUUCAUAUAAUGUUCACGUGGCACAAAACCUUCUUCUUUUGAUUUUUUUUUUCAACUAUUUAAAAAUGUAAAGACCAGUGGGCCAUGCAAAAACAAGUGGUGGGUCAAAGUUUCACUAACUUGACUUGUGGGUGAGUUUUCUUCAGCGUAAUAGGAAUCCUUUGUGGACACAAAGUGAUUGUGCCAUGUCUUUUGGGAAAAUCUCUCCCAUGGCAGGGCACGAGCGAGAACUGGUCACUUCUCUGAGGACCCUGCUCAGUGCAGAUGUCACACUGCCCCCUAGCUGUUCGCUGGCCAUAGACUAGCAGCUUAUCCAGGCCAGACCAUGGCUUUUCCAACUCAAAUCUGCAUAGCCUGGCACCACACUGGACACAGAAGAUACUCAAUAGAUUCUUCCACAAUAAAUGACUGUGCUUUUGUAAAUUUAUAAGUUUUAUUUUUAGAAAAAUUAAAGGUACCGCAUACCUUUUCUAUGCUGC